rnacentral:rRNA from 1 species
AUUGAACGCUGGCGGCAGGCCUAACACAUGCAAGUCGAACGGUAACAGGAAGAAGCUUGCUUCUUUGCUGACGAGUGGCGGACGGGUGAGUAAUGUCUGGGAAACUGCCUGAUGGAGGGGGAUAACUACUGGAAACGGUAGCUAAUACCGCAUAACGUCGCAAGCCCAAAGAGGGGGACCUUCGGGCCUCUUGCCAUCGGCUGUGCCCAGAUGGGAUUAGCUAGUAGGUGGGGUAACGGCUCACCUAGGCGACGAUCCCUAGCUGGUCUGAGAGGAUGACCAGCCACACUGGAACUGAGACACGGUCCAGACUCCUACGGGAGGCAGCAGUGGGGAAUAUUGCACAAUGGGCGCAAGCCUGAUGCAGCCAUGCCGCGUGUAUGAAGAAGGCCUUCGGGUUGUAAAGUACUUUCAGCGGGGAGGAAGGGAGGAAAGUUAAUACCUUUGCUCAUUGACGUUACCCGCAGAAGAAGCACCGGCUAACUCCGUG